GAAAGUUAGAGUUGCUGAGACGAUGCCCUGAAGCCUGCACGCUGAUUGGGGUGUGAUUGCUAUCUGUAUUUAUAUGUAGAAAGCAAAGUUCACUCUCAGUUCAAGAUGGUGGCGCCUGCUUCUUUCAUGCUACAUAAUUCUUCAGCUGGAAGAAGGCUGGGGAAAAAAAAGGAGAAAGGCAUGUGAGUGCCUAACCAGGCAUUUGGGGAGGGGGUUGCAGCGGGAUUUCCAGGAUUCACCAAUAAUCCCUUCCUUUCCCCAUCCCAUCCCAUCUCAUCUCCAACUGCCCCAUUCAGGUGUACUCAAAAAGAUUUGUUGUUGUUUGUUUUCGUUUUAAAUCUGUGAAGGAGCAGGAGGAGAAUGGUAGCAGUACAGAUCAGCUGAACCGAAAUGAGAAGAGAAAUACUGUCAUGCAGAGGCCAUGGAGAGCAUUUGGAAGCAACACAGGGAAGUCACCCAAUGCAGCUGAGGUCCUGAUGGUAUACAGAUUGACCAUGCUUGAUUUAAUUCAUGCCAACAGAAGCAUCCUCAAUCUUUCAUAAGAAAAGUUACUUUUUUUGACUGCACGUCUUAGCAAAUUCUGUAAUACAAAAAUAGCUUUGCUGUACUCUGCCUUUCACAAAGGGCAUAAUUAGAAAGCAAUACAAGUGGAGAAUCAAAUUAUCUCCCUUUCUCUAAAGAUCAUUGAUUGAUAUAAAAACAAGCGAAGUCUUGCCACUGCAGAUCAGACUCCUAGAUAAGAUCAUGUCAGAGGAAGAAAAGAACCAGCCAGGUCCAUCUGCCAGCCAGUGAAGGAGGAGACUUGGAAGGGAAAUUGCUUUUCCCAGACCUAUGAGAAAGAAGGAUAGGACUGGAGAGUUGAAGGGAAGGAUGACCUGAUCUCUUCCAUUUGCUGAAGGGCCAGUGGUCGGGCAUUAAACCUGUUGCUUCCACAAAGAAAACUGCAGAAAGAAGGACAACCUGGUCCCUUCCAUUGACCAGAGAAGAAAGGACUGGAAGAAAAUUGACUAUCUUCUACUUGCUAAGAAGAAGUCUUGAUUUCAAAUGCCAGUUCUCUGGGACUGCAGAACUUGAAGGAAGCAAUCUCUUCCUACUUCAUCUUUUCCCCAGCCACAGGACCAGAUCUGGAAAGAGAACCGAGACCUCACUUCCUUCCUGCUCAGCUAAUUAAAAGCUGGCCACGCGGUUGCUGAAGGGUGUUCUAAGCCAGAGAUUUUCACAGCUGGAACUCAAAAGAACAUAGGAUAAGUGAACUGUGGGUGUGGAACCCAUGCAAAUAAAGAAUUAACAAGAAAUGUCUGCCUCUUCCUAAAGGGCACAGGCUGAGCCCAAACAUCCUUCUGUAUAGGGUCAAUGUAUGGUCAAUUAGAACAGUCGCUCGCUCUGUGUGGGAGAAGGUUUUAUUUAGCAUCUUGUGAGCAAUUUCACAACUAGGCAAGAGCAUAAAACCCUUCCUUAGAAGAACUACUAAUUAUACAUUGGUGUAUAUAUUUGUCCCUACUAGUUUAUAUCCAAACCCACAAUGUAAGUCAAGGUUGGGAAUUUUGUGGCCUCCCAGAUAUUAUGGGACUACAACUCCUAGCAUUCCUCAUUAUUGGCUACAUUGAACAGGACUACUAGAAACUGUAAUUCCACAACAUCUAGACAGCCAAUUUUCUAGCUAGUAUAGCUGGGGAAUUUUGGGAGUUUAAAUCCAAUAAUCAACUUUUCUCACCUGUAGAGAAAUAUGCUUAUGUCUGAGACUGAAAAUCUGAACUAGGAGGAUAUAAAUUGCUGGCCACAUUAUUUUAUCUUUGUGUUUAAAGAUCUAAAAGCAGGAUAAUGAGACUUGACCUUCUGGAUGUUGUUAGAUUUCAGUUUCUACUAUGCUUUGCAUUGGAUGGUCUGCCCAGGACUGAUAUAAAUUAAGAGUUCAGCAACUUCUGGAGGAUAACAGAUUCCAUAACUCUAGCUCAGAGCAUUCUCAUUGGAACUCUGAUAAAAGCAAAUGUAACAAAGGCUGGAUCUACACUGCCUUAUAUCCCAGGAUCUGAUCCAGCUUUGUGCUGGAUUAUAUGAGUCUACACUGCUAGAUCCCCAUGCAAAGGAUCAUUACCUUGACAUGGUGCUGGGGCUUGCGCGCCUUGAUGAUUCCAUCCCCCCCCCGCCUUUUAGGGUCUUUCUU
ensembl:lncRNA